rnacentral:misc_RNA from 1 species
UUAAGUUCAGCGGGUCUUCCUACCUGAUCCGAGGUCAACCUUGGGUAAAUAAGGCUUUUUAACGGCCGGAACCCGCAGCACGCCCUGAGCGAGAUGUAUUACUACGCUCGGAGUGACUAGCGAGCCCGCCACUGUUUUUAGGGGGUGCGGACGGCCGCAGGGGCCCCAACACAAGCCUAGGGCUUGAUGGUUGAAAUGAC